rnacentral:tRNA from 1 species
GGGGUUGUAGCUCAGUGGUAGAGCGCUUGCCUCGCAUGCUUGAGACCCUGGGUUCUAUCCCCAGCACCACA